CGGGGAUGCGAACCGCGAGUUGGCCUCUGCCCUACACCAGGCGGAGGAGCCGAGACGUUCUGGGCAUCCUACAGGAACUGACAAGCGCGCCCCGGUACCCCCGGAUCCAUACCACGGCCCCAAAGGAGCCGGCGCAAGAAAGAGCUCUGUCUUCCCUGCCCUGAGGUCCAAAAUUACCUUCAUUUCCUCGUUGAUCUCCCUUUUCACUGGGGGCCUAGAGGUGGAGCAGAGUUGGUAGAACAGAAAGAAGAGAGAGAAUAUAGUUACUGUGACCAGAAGCUGUGCCCCCCAAAAUAGUCUCAGGACGAAAAGUGUGGGAAGGUGCUGAAAUCCUAAACUGCAAAAACAAAAGAAAACAAAACCCUAGCCCGGGAAGAAAUGAAGUACAACACCGAGCUCUUCACAUGUGAUGAGAAAACAGAGAGUUAAAGAGAUCAAGCAUCUGCUGUGAGCUGUGACGCCACGGCACUCGACCCCGGGUGACAGCUUGAGACUCUGUCUCAAAAAAAAAAAAAAAGAAAGAAAGAAAGAAAAAGAGAUCAAGCAUCAGCCAAAGGAUACACAUAUAGGUCAGCAGAAUGCGGAUCGGCCAGAAAGGGAAGUCCACUAAAACUUCACAAGCCUCAGAGUCCUGAGAAAAAAAGACGAAGAACGCCAGGCCCAUCUUUUGUCAGUGUCUGUCUUCAGAACAACCACAAUGCCAAGGAGAAGUCCCUGUUUUGUCUAACAGUUUCCACAGAUUGUGGUGUAACCACUCCCCAGCUUACAGGGCUACUCACACUCAGAAACUCUUUUGCUGCUUUGUGGGAAUAAAG